GCAACUAGCAGCGCACUCUGGCAAAGGGAACACGAAUGGGAGAGGCAGGUUUUUGGAUUCCAGAACGUGAAGUAUGGCCCUCGUACCUUGGCACCAGUGCCCUCCUGAAUAAUUCUGCUUUGCCUAGUUUGCAGAAUGCCCGGAGAGUGGGCGCCUUCCUGACCUCAUCACAUAGGCAAGUCUAUAAGUCUCCUUUCACCUCCGCGAGCUCUUCUUUCCAAGGACACUGAGAUUCCAGCUGGGCAUCAGUCAUGAAGAUCCUUUAUGGUCUCCUCUUGGUCAUCCUCUUCCUAUUCCAGGCUCCUCCAGGGGACAGUCACCUCAUCACUUGUGCCUCCAUGGGUGGAUUUUGCAUACUGCAGCCCUACCAGACUUGCCCAUCCGGUGUAAUCCUGGACAUACCAUGUCAUUACAAAGCAAAAUGCUGCUUGAAGAAGAAAGAUGCUUGACCUAGGCCCUUUUUCCCGAUCUCCUCUGCCAGUUGUCCACGUUUUCAUGAUCUGGUACAAGCUCAGCUGAACUGCAGAGGUCUCAGAGGGCAGGACUUCCCUCUCCACUCUACAACAAACACCGAUGAAUGGGCACCACUAAUGUGUCAGAAAUCUGCUCUGAUUGACCAGUCCCUGUCUAGGAUUUAGUAUCAUUAACAGUACAUUUAUUGAUUUCUGUUUGGUCACCAUCUCAAGUCAUUCAGUGAUGAACAAUGUAUUCAACCUGCCUUGAGGACCUGUUUGUAUUGAAAGUUCAGCUGUAAAUGAU